CCUACGGGAGGCAGCAGUAGGGAAUAUUGCUCAAUGGGGGAAACCCUGCAGCAGCAACGCCGCGUGGAGGAUGAAGGUUUUCGGAUUGUAAACUCCUUUUGUUAUAGAAGUUAAUGACUGUAUCUAACGGAUAAGCACCGGCUAACUCCGUGCCAGCAUCCGCGGUAAUACGGAGGGUGCAAGCGUUAAUCGGAGUCACUGGGCGUAAAGAGGGCGUAGGCGGGAUAGCAAGUCAGAUGUGAAAUCCUAUGGCUUAACCAUAGAACUGCAUUUGAAACUGUUAGUCUAGAGUAUGGGAGAGGUAGGUGGAAUUCUUGGUGGAGGGGUAAAAUCCGUAGAGAUCAAGAGGAAUACUGAUUGCGAAGGCGACCUGCUAGACCAUAACUGACGCUGAUGCGCGAAAGCGUGGGGAGCAAACAGGAUUAGAUACCCCAGUAGUC
rnacentral:rRNA from 1 species